rnacentral:rRNA from 1 species
GAUGAACGCUGGCGGCGUGCCUAAUACAUGCAAGUCGAGCGAAGCGGGGACUUGCGAGUAACACGUUGAUACCCUUCUAUCAGACUGGGAUAAUUUCGGGAAACCGGAGCUAAACUGGAUCCUUAUAGCUGGAUUCUGGCUGUAUUUGCUAGUUGGUAAGUUAACGGCUUACCAAGGCAACGAUGCAUAGCAGACCUGAGAGGGUGAUCGGCCAAAUUGGAACUGAGACAGGGUCCAGACUCCUACGGGAGGCAGCAGUAGGGAAUCUUCCGCAAUGGGCGAAAGCCGGACGGAGCAACGCCGCGUGGGUGAUGAAGGUCUUCGGAUCGUAAAACUCUGUUAUUAGGGAGGCGGUACCUAAUCAGAAAGCCACGGCUAACUACGUGCCAGCAGCCGCGGUAAUAC